AUUGAACGCUGGCGGCAUGCUUUACACAUGCAAGUCGAACGCGUCAGGGGGCAACUCCUGAUGAGUGGCGAACGGGUGAGUAAUGCAUCGGAACGUACCCCGUAGUGGGGGAUAACCCGGCGAAAGCCGGGCUAAUACCGCAUAUGCUCUACGGAGGAAAGCAGGGGACCUGAAAGGGCCUUGUGCUAUGGGAGCGGCCGAUGCCCGAUUAGCUAGUUGGUGAGGUAAUGGCUCACCAAGGCGACGAUCGGUAGCUGGUCUGAGAGGAUGAUCAGCCACACUGGGACUGAGACACGGCCCAGACUCCUACGGGAGGCAGCAGUGGGGAAUUUUGGACAAUGGGGGCAACCCUGAUCCAGCCAUGCCGCGUGCGGGAAGAAGGCCUUCGGGUUGUAAACC
rnacentral:rRNA from 1 species